GGCUCAGAUUGAACGCUGGCGGCAGGCCUAACACAUGCAAGUCGAACGGUAACAGGAAGAAGCUUGCUUCUUUGCUGACGAGUGGCGGACGGGUGAGUAAUGUCUGGGAAACUGCCUGAUGGAGGGGGAUAACUACUGGAAACGGUAGCUAAUACCGCAUAACGUCGCAAGACCAAAGAGGGGGACCUUCGGGCCUCUUGCCAUCGGAUGUGCCCAGAUGGGAUUAGCUUGUUGGUGGGGUAACGGCUCACCAAGGCGACGAUCCCUAGCUGGUCUGAGAGGAUGACCAGCCACACUGGAACUGAGACACGGUCCAGACUCCUACGGGAGGCAGCAGUGGGGAAUAUUGCACAAUGGGCGCAAGCCUGAUGCAGCCAUGCCGCGUGUAUGAAGAAGGCCUUCGGGUUGUAAAGUACUUUCAGCGGGGAGGAAGGGAGUAAAGUUAAUACCUUUGCUCAUUGACGUUACCCGCAGAAGAAGCACCGGCUAACUCCGUGCCAGCAGCCGCGGUAAUACGGAGGGUGCAAGCGUUAAUCGGAAUUACUGGGCGUAAAGCGCACGCAGGCGGUUUGUUAAGUCAGAUGUGAAAUCCCCGGGCUCAACCUGGGAACUGCAUCUGAUACUGGCAAGCUUGAGUCUCGUAGAGGGGGGUAGAAUUCCAGGUGUAGCGGUGAAAU
rnacentral:rRNA from 1 species